rnacentral:rRNA from 1 species
UACGUAGGGUGCGAGCGUUGUCCGGAAUUACUGGGCGUAAAGAGCUCGUAGGUGGUUUGUCGCGUUGUUCGUGAAAACCUGAGGCUUAACCUUGGGCGUGCGGGCGAUACGGGCAGACUGGAGUACUGCAGGGGAGACUGGAAUUCCUGGUGUAGCGGUGGAAUGCGCAGAUAUCAGGAGGAACACCGGUGGCGAAGGCGGAUCUCUGGGCCUGUCCUGACGCUCAGGCGCGAAAGCUAGGGGAGCAAACAGG